rfam:Triticum aestivum genome assembly, contig: Triticum_aestivum_CS42_TGACv1_scaffold_543064_6DS
GUACUACUCCCUCCGUCCGAAAAAACUUGUUCCUCAAAUGGAUGUAUCUAGAACCAAGUUAGUGGUCUAGAUACAUUCAUUCGAGAAACAAGAUUGUGACAAGUUUUUUCGGACGGAGGAGUAGUUA